UAUGUGAUCGUCUCUCGCAUAUCAAUAAGCGGAGGAAAAGAAACUAACAAGGAUUCCCCUAGUAACGGCGAGUGAAGCGGGAAGAGCUCAAAUUUGAAAUCUUAAAGGGUUUCCCUUUACGAAUUGUAGUUUAAAGAAGUGUUUUCUGUUGAGGUUUUGGUAAAAGUUCUUUGGAAUAGGACAUCAUAGAGGGUGAGAAUCCCGUAUUUGACCUUUACUUUCAACUUUGUGAUACACUUUCAAAGAGUCGGAUUGUUUGGGAAUGCAGUCCAAAAUGGGUGGUAAAUUUCAUCUAAAGCUAAAUAUUGGCGAGAGACCGAUAGCGAACAAGUACCGUGAGGGAAAGAUGAAAAGAACUUUGAAAAGAGAGUUAAACAGUACGUGAAAUUGUCAAAAGGGAAGCGUUUGACACCAGUGUUGUUUUUCUGAAAAUCAAUUAAAGAACUGGUUUAUGCUAAGCUGUUUAGACUUUAUCAGCUAAUCUGUUUAGUUUUGAGCUUUUCUUUAAUGCACUUUUCAGUUAACAAGUCAACAUCAAUUUCUUUUGCUGUAAAAAAGCUUGAGGAAGGUGGCUUGAGAUUCGUCUUAAGUGUUUAUAGCCUCUUGCCUAUGCAGUCGGAGAGAUUGAGGUCUGCAGCGUAGAUCCUUCGGGGCUAAAUGCAUUUGUGCUAAGUUAUAGCAUUUUAUAGACAACUUGUUGACUAUGAUUUGUCUUGUAGCUUACUCGCUUAUGUUAUUUUACCUACGCUUAGGAUGUUGACUGAUAUGUAGUCGU
rnacentral:rRNA from 1 species